rnacentral:rRNA from 1 species
UUGAACGCUGGCGGCAGGCCUAACACAUGCAAGUCGAGCGGUAGAGAGAAGCUUGCUUCUCUUGAGAGCGGCGGACGGGUGAGUAAUGCCUUGGAAUCUGCCUGGUAGUGGGGGAUAACGCUCGGAAACGGACGCUAAUACCGCAUACGUCCUACGGGAGAAAGCAGGGGACCUUCGGGCCUUGCGCUAUCAGAUGAGCCUAGGUCGGAUUAGCUAGUUGGUGAGGUAAUGGCCCACCAAGGCGACGAUCCGUAACUGGUCUGAGAGGAUGAUCAGUCACACGGGAACUGAGACACGGUCCAGACUCCUACGGGAGGCAGCAGUGGGGAAUAUUGGACAAUGGGCGAAAGCCUGAUCCAGCCAUGCCGCGUGUGUGAAGAAGGUCUUCGGAUUGUAAAGCACUUUAAGUUGGGAGGAAGGGCAGUAAAUUAAUACUUUGCUGUUUUGACGUUACCGACAGAAUAAGCACCGGCUAACUCUGU